rfam:Lepisosteus oculatus linkage group LG10, whole genome shotgun sequence.
GCUUGUAAAGCCAUAUCACCCUGCAACUCACAACUGGCAACCCACUGAAGCUAAGCGGGUGUGAGCCUGGUCAGUACCUGGAUGGGAGACCUCCUGGGAAAAACUAAGGUUGAUGCUGGAA